UGGGGAAUUGUUCGCAAUGGGCGCAAGCCUGACGACGCAACGCCGCGUGGAGGAUGAAGGUCUUCGGAUUGUAAACUCCUGUCGAACGGGACGAACACCUUUCCAGUUAACACCUGGAGAGGCUGACGGUACCGUGAGAGGAAGCCCCGGCUAACUCUGUGCCAGCAGCCGCGGUAAUACAGAGGGGGCAAGCGUUGUUCGGAAUUACUGGGCGUAAAGGGCGCGUAGGCGGCCUUCUAAGUCAGACGUGAAAUCCCUCGGCUCAACCGGGGAACUGCGUCUGAGACUGGAAGGCUUGAAUCCGGGAGAGGGAUGUGGAAUUCCUGGUGUAGCGGUGAAAUGCGCAGAUAUCAGGAGGAACACCUACGGCGAAGGCAGCACUCUGGGCCGAAACUGACGCUGAGGAGCGAAAGCGUGGGUAGCAAACAGGAUUAGAUACCCUGGUAGUCCACGCCGUAAACGGUGGGCACUAGGUGUGGGGCCUUAUCAACGGGUUCCGUGCCGAAGCUAACGCAUUAAGUGCCCCGCCUGGGGAGUACGGCCGCAAGGCUAA
rnacentral:rRNA from 1 species